GCUCGUAUAGCUCAGCGGUAGAGCGUCUCACUCGUAAUGAGAAGGUCCUAGGUUCAAGUCCUAGUUCGAGCA
rnacentral:tRNA from 2 species